rnacentral:rRNA from 1 species
UACGAAGGGUGCAAGCGUUGUUCGGAAUUACUGGGCGUAAAGCGCGCGUAGGCGGGUCUAUAAGUUGAUUGUGAAAUCCCUGGGCUCAACCCGGGACGUGCAGUCAAAACUGUAGAUCUUGAAUGUCUGAGAGGAUGGCGGAAUUCCCGGUGUAGUAGUGAAAUACGUAGAUAUCGGGAAGAACACCUGAGGCGAAGGCGGCUAUCUGGCGGAACAUUGACGCUAAGGCGCGAAAGCCAGGGGAGCAAACGGG